UGAUGUGAGGACAAUCUGGCUGCGACAUCUGUCACCCCGUUGACUGUCAGGGAUGAUUUGGUUGACCUGGCUGGCGAGGCAGGUAUCACCUUUCUCUUUCAAUGUUCCGUGUACGUCCCUCCCUAGAAGCUGCAUGCUUGGUCAAAGAGAAUGCCAACCCUCAAUAGAGGAGGACAGUUCCUCAGUCAAGGAUAGAGGCGUAGCUGUGCUCCCAUGUUAGAACCUCCAAACAAGCUCCCAAAAGAACUCCGCCAGCAUCCCUGAUCACUAGCUGCUUGCUGUGAGCAUUUCUGU
rnacentral:sRNA from 1 species